AUUGAACGCUGGCGGCAGGCCUAACACAUGCAAGUCGAACGAGUGGCGGACGGGUGAGUAAUGUCUGGGAAACUGCCUGAUGGAGGGGGCUAACUACUGGAAACGGUAGCUAAUACCGCAUACCAUCAGAUGUGCCCAGAUGGGAUUAGCUAGUAGGUGGGGUAAUGGCUCACCAAGGCGACGAUCCCUAGCUGGUCUGAGAGGAUGACCAGCCACACUGGAACGGAGACACGGCCCAGACUCCUACGGGAGGCAGCAGUGGGGAAUAUUGCACAAUGGGCGAAAGCCUGAUGCAGCAAUGCCGCGUGUAUGAAGAAGGCCUUCGGGUUGUAAAGUACUUUCAGCGGGGAGGCGUUACCCGCAGAAGAAGCAACGGCUAACUCCGUGCCAGCAGCCGCGGUAAUAC
rnacentral:rRNA from 1 species